CUAUUUAUCAUGACGAUCUGCAGUGCACAGCAUGGCUUCCGGCUGGUCACUGGGAAAUGCGACUCCAGGGUUUUGACCCUUGCUAAUCACUGGCUGAUGUCGUCAAAAGCAGACCUCCUCUUCUUUAUCUGAAGAUGUGUAGGGCAAACCACAGAUGGAGGCCGCAGGAAGGAACGGGGCCGUUUCUGAAGAAGCUGGAGUAAUAAAAGCUGAGAGUCCGGCUGAGACAAGCAAAGCUGCCAAGACUCUGACACCAGACCAGCUGCCUGGGAGAGACUUAGACCAACUGAGGCACUUGGAAGGGACACUCUCCAACCUGCUGAACUGCCUGACGGCUGUACACUGUGCUUCUUGCAGGUUCCCAGCUUUUAUGAGCUGUCACCCAUGCUGGGUGGGCUUUGGUGAAGCAGCUGUCUCUGAGUCAUUCCUGCUCUUGUAAGUAACCCUUCACCCAUAUUCCUGUAACACCAAUAAAACUCAUUGGUUCACCA
rnacentral:lncRNA from 1 species